rnacentral:sRNA from 1 species
AUCACUUUCUUGUCCUAAAAUCUCAAGGGAAGCCAGACUCACUGGCAUUUGCCUUUUCUUUAACUCCUGCCUUCCUUCAAAGCCUGACUUCUGUUUAUCCCAUGAAACCUCCUGACAACACCAACUGAGAAGAAAAUGCUUCUUCCUGAGAUGGAGUCUCACUCUGUGGCCCAGGCUGAAGUGCAGUGGUGGGAUCUUGGCUCACUGCAACCUCCACCUCCCAGGUUUAAGAAUGUUACAUUUGAUAUCAUAGCUACUGAAGAUGUAGGCAUUUUCGAUGUAAGAUCAAAAUUCCUUGGUGUUGAGAUGGAAAAGGUGCAACUCAAUAUUCAGGAUUUACUUCAGAUGCAAUAUGAAGGAGUAGCUGUAAUGAAAAUGUUUGAUAAGGUUAAAGUGAAUGUAAACCUUCUCAUAUACCUGCUGAACAAGAAGUUCUAUGGAAAGUGAAGUGCCUACAGAAAUUUCUUGGAUUCUGUAUCAUCUGGAUUAGGAAAUGAAUUUGUUUAAUAUUUUUGUUUUUAAACAUGAUUGAAAUCACUGCUUAUAAAUGUGUGAUUUUUUUUAAACGACCAAAACUGUUCUGAAGAAUGUACCCAGGUGCCUUUUUGCUAAUUUGAUACUAUAAUAGAAUGAGACAUAAAAUGAAUUAAUGGAAACAUAUCCACACUGUACUGUGGUAUAGGUACUCUGAUUUAAAACUUUGGACAUCCUGUGAUCUGUUUUAAAGUUGGGGGGUGGGAAAUUUAGCUGACUAGGGA